UACGAAGGGGGCUAGCGUUGCUCGGAAUCACUGGGCGUAAAGGGUGCGUAGGCGGGUCUUUAAGUCAGGGGUGAAAUCCUGGAGCUCAACUCCAGAACUGCCUUUGAUACUGAGGAUCUUGAGUUCGGGAGAGGUGAGUGGAACUGCGAGUGUAGAGGUGAAAUUCGUAGAUAUUCGCAAGAACACCAGUGGCGAAGGCGGCUCACUGGCCCGAUACUGACGCUGAGCACGAAAGCGUGGGGAGCAAACAGG
rnacentral:rRNA from 1 species